UCUAAUUUAGUACAGGCAUUUUAUGUCAUACAUAAAAUAAAAAUAAAAAAUCUACUCAGAAGCCACUGUUUGGCUACAUCCAUUGCACACAUGACGUGGUGAUUAAGUAAAUUCCCUUUUUCUCCCUUCACAGCUGCACAUUCAAUCUCUUAUUUCACUCAAAAUUCACACAUCCUCUCCUCCCACCCCUGCGUCAUGCUCUCGCCCCCUCUGACCCAAGCACGAUUUCGACUUCCAUUUUAGUGGAAUCAUUUACUAUCUCUUUUUUUUUUUUUUUUUUUUUUUUUUUUUUUUUUUUUUCUUCUUACAUGAUUUUGCCUUUUCUUCUUCAUUCAUUUCUCUGUGAUUUCCCCCUCCCUUCAUUCGCCCUCACUGUGAUUUCUCCCAAAUAAAUCCAUCUCCCCCCUCCCUUCAUCCUCUUAACUAGCAAGCACCUCAGUCCCCCCCGAUGUGAUUUCUCCCAUCUCAGUCCCGAGAGCCUUUGUUCCAAUCUGGUGACGAUGGCGCUCCAGACCAUACCGAAGUCCAGAGAUCUGUGGGAGGGGUUAUGGCCAUAUAAUGAGCAGCUACAACUCUAACUAUGGUGCUGAAAUGACAGAGGAUUCACUGAAGAUGCUACUCUUUUUGCAAAGAUUUUGAUUGAAUCUCAAAAUGUCCAUUCUGUUAUGUAUUUAGAUAGCCAUAAUAUUUGUAUAACUGGAUUGAUCCUGAAGUUAUGGGAAUCUAUUCUUGUACUUGAUGGCAUUUAUUUCAUGAACAUGUGGUUAAUUUGAUGAAAUCCAUGUAUGGAAAUUGUAUGCCAUUAAAUUAACCUAUGUAACAAAAACAGUUUGUGCA